AUUGAACGCUGGCGGCAGGCCUAACACAUGCAAGUCGAGCGGAUGAAGGGAGCUUGCUCCUGGAUUCAGCGGCGGACGGGUGAGUAAUGCCUAGGAAUCUGACUGGUAGUGGGGGAUAACGUCCGGAAACGGGCGCUAAUACCGCAUACGUCCUGAGGGAGAAAGUGGGGGAUCUUCGGACCUCACGCUAUCAGAUGAGCCUAGGUCGGAUUAGCUAGUUGGUGGGGUAAAGGCCUACCAAGGCGACGAUCCGUAACUGGUCUGAGAGGAUGAUCAGUCACACUGGAACUGAGACACGGUCCAGACUCCUACGGGAGGCAGCAGUGGGGAAUAUUGGACAAUGGGCGAAAGCCUGAUCCAGCCAUGCCGCGUGUGUGAAGAAGGUCUUCGGAUUGUAAAGCACUUUAAGUUGGGAGGAAGGGCAGUAAGUGAAUACCUUGCUGUUUUGACGUUACCAACAGAAUAAGCACCGGCUAACUUCGUG
rnacentral:rRNA from 1 species